rnacentral:ncRNA from 1 species
GAGCCUGCGGCUUAAUUUGACUCAACACGGGAAACCUCACCGGCCUGGACACGGACAGGAUUGACAGAUUGACAGCUCUUUCUCGAUUCCGUGGGUGGUGGUGCAUGGCCGUUCUUAGUUGGUGGAGCGAUUUGUCUGGUUAAUUCCGAUAACGAACGAGACUCUGGCAUGCUAACUAGUUACGCGACCCCCGAGCGGUCGGCGUCCCCCAACUUCUUAGAGGGACAAGUGGCGUUCAGCCACCCGUGAUUGAGCAAUAACAGGUUUGUGAUGCCCUUAGAUGUCUUGAGGGGGCACGCGCACUA